CUUUGAAAUUGCUUCAGAGUUGUAACUUGCUAGUCUGGUUCACUGAGAAUUGGCUUCAAGAGUAGUACAUUAUCUGCUUCAGGAAGCCAGGGCUUUGGGCUUUGAAAUCGGGAUGAGAGGUACAAUGGUCAGAUUUCAAGAAAAAUACUGACUACAACCAGCAUUUAAGACCCCAGGAAAUGUCACUGCUUUUUCUUCAGAAGGCAUAGAAUUUGGAUUUACCAAAGCAGUGUGGAUUAAUAUCUUGAUAUGCACACUUAAUGAAAUAUAUGAAGAUUUUAUUUAUUUAUUUGAUGGAGAGACAGAGCGCAAGCUCGGGGAGCGACGGGCAGAGGGAGAGGGAGAAGCAGGCUUCCCCGCGGAGCAAGGAGCCUGACGCGGGGCUCUAUCCCAGGACUCUGGGAUCAUGACCUGAGUGGAAGGCAGACGCUUAACCGACUGAGCCACCCAGGAGCUCCCCCGGCACGCACUGCAAGAUGGUCCAGAUGCUUUCAGCCAAGAAGACUAACGAGGCCCCAGUGCUCUUCCCCUCUGUUGACUUGCUGGCCUGCACAGGCACGCGGAUUUCAGGGCUAUCUUGAGCAGCAGAGGCUGUGGCGUUGGAGGCCACUUGGUCUGCUGCACACUCCACCGCCUCCUGUCAACAACUUCUUCAAGUCCGGGAGCCCAUAAGACUACUAUCCAUCCAAGACCCCCACCACGUCCAGCAAGGCCUGCAAGUACCAGGACAGUAUCAUGAGUCUCUGGGCUGCUGUUCUAGUCUCAGUAUUAGGCAUAAAGGAAGAAGUUGCUGUGGCUGAGGUCAAAGAGGUUGCUGCCUGUGUUCUCCUUUAGGAUUUUG